CUGCACAGUGUUAAUAAACUGCGGUUUUACAGGACAUCAGACAUAUCAAACAGGGCAAGAGUUUUAUUGUCAAGAUGGAGCAAAAUAUUUGCAAGAGAAGCUAUGAAAAAGCCGAAUGGUGUGAAAUCUUCUAUUGAUGCGCAGGAGAUGAUACUGAAGCAGAGCAUUGAUGAAAUUAUGGGCAAUGAAUUAUGGCAGCCUAAUGUUGGUAAUCCUGAAGAUGUACUUGCUCUUUCUGAAAGUUCAGAAAAUACCAGGAAAAUAGAGCCUUCACAAACAUUGAAGCUGUUGACUGCAUCAACAGAUGAUUCAAGUAGGAAGCAUGCCCUAGGUGUAUCCCAUACCAGAGAACGCAGAAAAGUUCAGCUUGUGGAACAGCCAGGCCAGAAAACAGCUGGCAGAAGCCCCCAGGCCACAAAAGCAGUUUCUGUCAGUCAAAGUCGCCCAAUGUCUACUGAUGAUAUCCAAAAGGCAAAAAUGCGUGCUUUAUUCAUGCAGGGAAAGCAUGGGAAAACUGUU
rnacentral:misc_RNA from 1 species